UUCCGGUUGAUCCCGCCGGAGGCUACCGCUAUUGGAGUUCGAUUAAGCCAUGCGAGUCGCGAGUCUUAGGGACUCGGCGUACCGCUCAGUAACACGUGGGUAACCUGCCCUAUGCUGGGGGAUAACCUCGGGAAACUGAGAAUAAUACCCCAUAGUUCACCACGCCUGGAACGGUGGGUGGACCAAAGCUCCGGCGGCAUAGGAUGGGCCUGCGGCGUAUCAGGUUGUAGGGGGUGUAAUGUACCCUCUAGCCCUCUACGCGUACGGGUGUUGAGAGACAUCGCCCGGAGAUGGAUUCUGAGACACGAAUCCAGACCCUACGGGGUGCAGCAGGCGCGAAAACUUGGCAAUGCGAGAAAUCGUGACCAGGGAACUCCAAGUGCAUCGGGUAAGACCGAUGCUUUUCUUGACUCUUCAAAGGUCUUGGAAUAAGGGGUGGGUAAGGACGGUGCCAGCCGCCGCGGUAAUACCGGCGCCCCAAGUGGUAGUCGCUUUUAUUGGGCCUAAAACGUCCGUAGCCGGUCUGGUACAUUCGUGGGUAAAUCAACCAGCUCAACUGGUUGAAUUCUGCGAGCACGGCCAGACUUGGGACCGGGAGAGGUGUGGGGUACUCUCAGGGUAGGGGUAAAAUCCUGUCAUCCUGAGGGGACCACCUGUUGCGAAGGCGCCACACUAGAACGGAUCCGACGGUCAGGGACGAAGCCUAGGGGCACGAACCGGAUUAGAUACCCGGGUAGUCCUAGGUGUAAACGCUGUGGACUUGAUGUUGGGGGCGCUCCGAGCGCACUCAGUGUCGAAGCGAAGGUGAUAAGUCCACUGCCUGGGGAGUACGGUCGCAAGGCUGAAACUUAAAGGAAUUGGCGGGGGAGCACCGCAACCUGAGGAUUGUGCGGUUUAAUUGGAUUCAACGCCGG
rnacentral:rRNA from 1 species